AGAGUUUGAUCAUGGCUCAGGAUGAACGCUAGCGGCAGGCUUAAUACAUGCAAGUCGAGGGGCAGCAGCUUUGUAGCAAUACAGAGGCUGGCGACCGGCAAACGGGUGAGGAACACGUACACAACCUUCCUUCGAGCGGGGAAUAGCCCAGAGAAAUUUGGAUUAAUACCCCAUAGUAUAUUGAAAAGGCAUCUUUUUAAUAUUAAAGAUUUAUCACUUGAAGAUGGGUGUGCGGCUGAUUAGGUAGUUGGCGGGGUAACGGCCCACCAAGCCUGCGAUCAGUAACUGGUGUGAGAGCACGACCAGUCACACGGGCACUGAGACACGGGCCCGACUCCUACGGGAGGCAGCAGUAAGGAAUAUUGGCCAAUGGACGCAAGUCCGAACCAGCCAUGCCGCGUGGAGGAUGAAGGUCCUCUGGAUUGUAAACUUCUUUUAUCUGGGACGAAAAAAGGCUUUUCUAAGUCGUCUGACGGUACCAGAUGAAUAAGCACCGGCUAACUCCGUGCCAGCAGCCGCGGUAAUACGGAGGGUGCAAGCGUUAUCCGGAUUCACUGGGUUUAAAGGGUGCGUAGGUGGGUUGGUAAGUCAGUGGUGAAAUCCCCGAGCUUAACUCGGGAACUGCCAUUGAUACUAUCAGUCUUGAAUACCGUGGAGGUCAGCGGAAUAUGUCAUGUAGCGGUGAAAUGCUUAGAUAUGACAUAGAACACCAAUUGCGAAGGCAGCUGGCUACACGAGCAUUGACACUGAGGCACGAAAGCGUGGGGAUCAAACAGGAUUAGAUACCCUGGUAGUCCACGCCCUAAACUAUGGAUACUCGACAUACGCGAUACACUGUGUGUGUCUG
rnacentral:rRNA from 1 species